UGGUACUACCCACAGGUCAGGCAUCCACUGGGGUUUUGGAACAUAUUCCCCUUGGAUAAGGGAGGAUACUAUAUACAUUGUUGAACAGCUAAAUCAAGCUAUUUAUAAAUGCACACACUUUUUUAUGGUAAAAACACUUAAAAAUCUCUAAGCAAUUUUCUAGUAUAAAAUAUAUUAUUAACCAUAGUCGCCAUGGUGUUCCGCAGAUCUCUUGAAUUUAUUCCUCCUAAAUAAAAUUAUGUAUCCUUUGACCAACAUCUCACCAACCCCUCACCCCCAGCCUCCAUAACCACCAUUUCACCUUUCUGUCUGUGAUACUAUCCCCCUCUUCAAAAGCCUGGCGCUUUAAGUGACUCAUACUUAAAAGUAGGAUGGAUAUUUUAUCCACAGAUUAUCACUGAAGUCCCCUUGUAACAGAUGUCUUCUAUUACAUAAGGGAAAGUUCUAACUCCAUCAUUUGUGGCCACCCAAAAGAAUGAAAGUAGAAAGAAAAGUCCAUAUACUGGAAUUCAAAUUCAUAGCAAUGGUGUCAUCAAGCAUCAGUUUCUGGUAACCCAAUCUUCCAUUAAUCAACAAGUAUUUACUGUAAACCCACCAUGUGUCAAGUCCUGUACUAUUUAUUCCAACACAGUUAAGUAUUAAGACAUGAGCACUGCUCUCUAAGAAAUUAAAGCCAAUAUGAACAAAACACAUACCUACAGAGUUGGGCCCCAGGUUCAAUCUUAAAUGUCAAAGAAUGCCUCCUAGAGGGACAAAAACACCUUACAAAACAACUCAUCCUCCUAUGGGGCUUAAGGUUUAUGGAGGCUACAUAAAAGGAACAAACCAUUAUCUACAAGGAAGGUAAGUCUAGCCUUACCACUGUGUACUAUUUGGUCCCAAAUGAGUCACCUAGUGAAUAUUCAUGAGCAAUCAGUUGUAAACUUUUCCCUUUCCCCUACUUCAUCCACACUAUGCACAAAAGAAAACAAGAAAGCAGAUUCUGUAGCAAUCAUUCAUACUCAAUAUCACCUCUCCUUUAUUCUCACUAUACAGCCAGGCUAAAAAGAAAGAAUAACAUCUGAAUCCUGAUAUACUGCUACCUUAACAUGCCAGUUAUGAGCUCACAUCCACUGCCUAACAGUCUCCCAGACAGACACAACCUGAAGUGGUCAAGGUGACAGCAUAAAUAUCCAUCAUUCUUUUCUUCCCCUAAAAAUAUGCCAGCACACUGCUCAAACCCUGAGAAAUAAGUCUAGGCAGAGACAGAAAGGGCUUGAGCCACAAAGAGUUUUCCCUCUUUUCUAUUCAUCUGCUUCUGUUUUAAACAUAUAUUUUUUAAUAUAUUAGAAAUUACAAGUGUGAUAGCCUGAAUAAACAGGCCAACAGAAGGAUCGUAAGAUAAAGUUGAGGAUAUCUCCUAGACACACUUAAAAAGUGCAUAUAUCUAAUCCAACCAAUUCAUUUCACAGGUCAAAUUUUUGAAGCUUAGAAGGAUCUUGUACUUUACCCAAAACUGUAUUAAAGCAAGACCAGAUCCAAGGUUUUAUUUGGCCUUCUACCUCAGGGCCUUUCUACUACAAUAUGCUUCUCUCCAUGUUUUUUGAAACCUCUCAUACUCCACUUCUCAUUUUUUGAUAUAAAAUAAAUCUUUGUGAGUGUUCUAUUUCUUCCUGUAUAACUCUGCUGUCAUUACCUCCACCCAAAAGUGAAGAGUCAGGCCCUUAUAGCUGGAAGGGGAAGAAAAUUAAAGAGUUCAUCCACAGCUCAACAGUCUGUGCAGUAAGAUCACCCUAACUAUUUCAAUAUGCUGAGAAACACAAAUCCCACAUAGAGAGGAAGUUGGAAGAAAACUCAUUUCCCCUAUAUACCUAUAGAGGCUUUUUACAUUAAGGUAUCCAUUCCCUCAAGCAUUUAUCCUUUGAGUUACAAUCCGAAUACACUUGAAGCUAUUUUUAAAUGUACAAUUAAGUUGCUAUUGACUAUAGUCACCCUAUUGUGCUAUCAAACAGAAGGUCUUAUUCAUUCUUUCUAAUUUUUGGUACCCAUUAACCCUCACUACCUCUCCCCUGCCCACAAAUAAAAGCAUAUAACUACAGGCUUGUCAAGAAUUCUAUUUUUUUGUUUCAUCUGAUAGUUUUCACUACAGUUAGAAAUUACCAAAGAGCUUGCCACACUCUCUGCAAAAAAAUAUACUUCAAAAGUAUUUUAGGGAAGACAUGUUUACCCAGAUAAUCAAAAGUUAAAAGCAUAAAGUGAAGAUGUUUUCCAGGUAAUCUGAGAAGGGCUCAAGACAAUGAAGAACCUGCAGGUACUUGUUUUUUUCAUUAUUCAUAUAUUCAGUUAACAAUAUUUGUUGACAUUUGAUAUCUAUUUACUAACAGGUCAACUUAUACUACAACAGAUUGUAUCCUAAGAAACCCAACAUCUAGUUUAGGAGAUAGUGUGCCAUAAUAGAUCAUGCUCUUGGGAUCAAAAAAUACCCUUGCUUCAAAUUCCAAUUCUGCCACAGUUGUAUGAAUCUAGGAAAAUUACUUAACCACUGCAUCUCUUUUUCAUGGGGGGAGAAGGUAUUUUAAGUUUACAAAAAGAUGAUAAUUGUUUUCUAGGAAUGUAGUAAGGAUCAAAUGAUGUUAUAUACAGAAGCCCUGUUGCAGGACUAUAGAAGAUAUCCAGGGGAUACUAGCUUCCUUUGGAAAAUGCAAACUUUUCUUCAUUCUCCACUAGGGCAGUAAGAUCAAUUUGUCAUUUAUUGGAGUUUAGUUUUAAUUUUAAUUGUAUAUAAAUGUAUAUAUUUAUGCAGGUAACAAAUGUAUAUAUUUAUGGCAUACAUGGUGUUUUUAUAUGUACAGUAGACCCCCCCCCCCACCGCUUAUCCACAGUUUCCCUGAGGUUAUGUAUGUAUAUAACAUAUUCUGAUGUUAUAUACAGAAGCCCUGUGCCUGGACUAUAGAAGAUACUCAGGGGUUGUUAGCUUCCUUUGGAAAAUGCAAACUUUUCUUCAUUCUCUACCAGGGCAGUAAGACCAACUUGUCAUUUAUUGGAGUUUAGUUUUAAUUUUUAACCACCUCACUCUACCCUAUACACACACUCCACUGAUUUUACAAAGAAUGUUUUUAAACACAAUUCAUACUGUAGCAAAUUAACCCAGGUGAUCUUUGUUGAAGGUUUUCAAAAAGACAUAGGCCUUAGCUUUAAGAUUACUUUCACAUGAGGUGAUAUUUAUUUUGUCACCUUACAGUUAAAUAAAUGACAAGGAACAGCUGAUAUUGUCCAAGUAUCACAGUUUGAGAAACAAAAGUGGGGAGAAGUUAUAUGGAGAGAAGUAAAGAGAUACACGUUAUAAAGAAAAGGCAGUAAUAUGUGAGUGGAUACACUCACAGACCUGCAGAGCACGGCAUCACUCCCAAGAGGUAGUGAUGUGUGUGAAAAUACUUUAGCUGUCCAGAAGAGGACCGGUGUCUACCAAAGGUAGAAUUUUCACCUUGAACUAAACACUGCCAAUUAUGCACAUGUGACAAGAAUAAAUCUCAAGGAGCUCACAGAGAGUUACAACACUAGGCAAUUCUCUACAGCAGUGGUGUGCAUUGUUAUUGAGGGAACAUACAUGUUCUUCUCCAAUGCUGGAGGGAUACUCAGUGCUCCGAAGGAGCACAGAUGAAGGAGUAAUUCAUUCUACCUGGUGGACUAGAAAACCAAAGUUUGCCAGGUGUUAAAUACUUGUCAGGACAGUGAUUCCAAACAAGGGAGCCACAUGAGUAAGAGUUCAGCGAUAUGAAAAGGCUGUGUGGUUACAGACAUGCGGGAUCAGGUCUCAUGGAGAGAGGUUCAUGAAGAUGAGGCUGGAGAAGCAGACUGAGGCAGUUUGUAAAAAGCCUUACAGACCACACUGCAGAGUUUCUUUUUUCUUUUCUUUUUAAUUUUUUUAUUUCCAUAGGUUUUUGGGGAACAAGUAGUAUUUGGUUACAUGAGUAAGUUCUUUAGUGUUGAUUUGUGACUUGAUCAUUCCAUGACGAAGGGACAGCAAAGCUUUUGAAACAGAUGUCACAACUCAAAGGAAGCCUGAAUUAAGAAAGUGGUAUGGAAACUCAUUAUUUCUUUCCUUCACUCAUUUGUACCAACUAUACAAAAUACUGGGGCUACAAAGUUAAAAUAUUGAAAAUAAAACCCAGACAUAGCCCCUGCUAUAAUGAAACUUACAAACUAGCAAAGAUAGUAGUCAUUAAAUAAUUACAAAAUUUUAAACACAAUCAUAGUAUUUAAUUGGGGAGCUAUAAGGAAGAAACAGUUGCUGAGAAAGAAUGCCAGGGACAGCACUGAGGAACAUUUCAGAAAGAGGCACACAUAUGACACUUGGUGAUCAAUUGGAAGUGCAGCAAGGAGAAGAGAAGAUGGUUCCAGGAUUUCCAGCUUAUAUACUGGAUGGAUACUGGUGCUGUUAAGCACAGUGAUAGAAGAACAAAACAAGGAAUGGGAAAGCCACUUUAUGGCUAGUUUGCUUUGGAUCAGAAAGAGCUUUAAGCACCAACUGACAUCCAAGUGAAGUUCACCAGUUGCACCAGAAGGACUGCAGCUCAGGAGAGUCAGAGGUUGGAAAGAGAUUUGGGAAAAGACAGGGUCAAGGAUGAAUGGUGGGUAAAGUGUUAGUGGUACUCUUAUAACCUUUUUCCCACUAAUAAUUUUCUAUAGUGAAAAUAGUAUUAAAUGCUCCCCACUGCCCCUCAGUAAUAAUGAAGAAAAGAAGAUACCUCCCAAUAGUCUAUUUUCACCUAAGUCCAUGCCAGAUAACUCUGAAAGGGGCAGUCAGUCCCCAGACCAGCAGCAUCAACAUCACCUGGAACUUAUCAAUGCAAAGUUUAGGGCCCCACCCAGGACCUAUUAAAUUAGAAAUUCUGGGGGUGGGUACAGCAAUCUGUUUUAGAAAACCUCCAGGUAAUGCUGAUGCACUCUCAGGUCUGCGAGACACUGGGCCUGCCCAUUAUAAAAAUGUUAAACAUUUAAGAAAAUAACUAUCUCGUUUUAGCUGUUAGUUAUGUUUAGUGGAAAAACUCAAGGUUUCUGUUUGCCUGGAGGGUUCUCUCAUCCGUACUUUAAACAUGUGUAGAAUAUCUGAUCUAUGCAGAGUAGUGUGUUUGUUGAGGGAGACUAAGUGUAAGGCAUAAAUAUGGUCUCUGCCAUCGGGGAACUGUCAUCUGGUUGAGGAGACAAUAUACACAUCUGAAAAGUUAAACAAGUAGAUAAGUGGUACAGUUCAACAGAAGCAGCAGGUGAGGAUUUAAAGUGCUAAACAAUAAGGGCUGUAAUCCCAGCACUUUGGGAGGCCGAGGCGGGCGGAUCACGAGGUCAGGAGAUCGAGACCAUCCCAGCUAAAACGGUGAAACCCCGUCUCUACUAAAAAUACAAAAAAUUAGCCGGGCGUAGUGGCGGGCGCCUGUAGUCCCAGCUACUUGGGAGGCUGAGGCAGGAGAAUGGCGUGAACCCGGGAGGCGGAGCUUGCAGUGAGCCGAGAUCCCGCCACUGCACUCCAGCCUGGGCGACAGAGCGAGACUCCGUCUCAAAAAAAAAAAAACAAUAAGGGCACUAAGAGCCACAAGCUAGGGGAAUAGUGGAAGGCAGGAGUUAGACCUAUGAUAAUCAAGCCUGACAGGGCUAAGUUUGAACUCUGUAUGAACUUUUAAUGAGAUAUAGCAGAACCCCUUAUUUGCAUCUCGUCCCUCUAAGAUGAGGUUUGCUGAGCUUCGGAAAUGGUUUAAUGAUAUACUCAAGAUGGAAAAGACUUGAAGUGAGUAAAUUACAGUUGGGCAAAUCAGUAACUGUCAAAAGAAGGAACGUUCCUGACCUCGGCCCAAGGGUAUCGCUGUGCUCUGGUUUGUAUUAGCUUCAGCACCGCUGCAAUCUCACUGAAGGUCAAGUUCCCUUUUAAUAAUGCUUUAUAUAUCCAAGUCUAUCUGCAGUUAUAAAAAUGCUUCCUAAGAGGCAUUUAAGAGUAAAAUGGUCCAGUUCUGAACCAUUCCCUAGCACCUACCGAAGGAGCUCAGUGGCUCCUCUGUGUUCUCAGCGGUCAGGGAUUGGAUGCAGGAAAGAGCAAUGGGGCCAGGCAGGCACGCUUCAGGAGUAAGCACCGUGUGCAUGGCACGCUGUCAAGCUCAGACCUAUUACUGAAUACCAAGGAAGAGGCUCCCGCGAUUGAGACGGCGGGGAUAAAGCCACCCUCCUGGACCUGGCGCUCUGGUCCUGUAAUUCGCUCCUAGGGCUCCAGACAGGGGUGGGCUUACAAGCGAGGACAGUGCAUAAGGCAAAACCACAAGUCAGUCCACGGUGGGAAUGCCUCCGGAUACCACUCGGUGGAGAGUCGGCAGUGGGGCACAAAAAGGAUUUCAAAGGGCUCUGAAAACCGAAAGCCCCUAACCCGGAUACGAGGGGCCUCGAGAGAAAGCUUACUUUGUGCUCACCAUCAUCCUUUGGCCUUUCUUCUCUAACACAGUUCCUGUAUCCAGCCUCAUGCUUUGCUGUGCCUGUAACUGUCUUCUCCCCACAGAUAACCUGUCAUUGAAGUACAUGAAGAAAAUAGUCAAAUAUGUGCCCAUGGGUUUUCCUGAGUACUUCCUACAGGGUAUGCAGUCCACUCUGAAGAUCACAGCCUAGGACCAUAAGUAUGCAGUGAAUAUCUUAAAGACAAUAAAGCUCUAUCCACAGAA